AUGGCUCAGGAUGAACGCUGGCGGCGUGCCUAAUACGUGCAAGUCGAGCGGCAGCACGGUCUUCGGACUGGUGGCGAGCGGCGGACGGCUGAGUAACGCGUAGGAAUAUACCCCAAAGUGAGGGAUAACUGCCCGAAAGGGUGGCUAAUACCGCAUGUGGUCUUCGGACUAAAGCCUUCGGGCGCUUUGGGAAUAGCCUGCGUAAGAUUAGCUAGUUGGUGAGGUAAUGGCUCACCAAGGCGACGAUCUUUAGCUGGUCUGAGAGGAUGACCAGCCAGACUGGAACUGAGACACGGUCCAGACUCCUACGGGAGGCAGCAGUAGGGAAUUUUCCACAAUGGGCGAAAGCCUGAUGGAGCAACGCCGCGUGCAGGAUGAAGGCCCUCGGGUCGUAAACUGCUUUUAUGUGCGAAGAAUAUGACGGUAACACAUGAAUAAGGGUCGGCUAACUACGUG
rnacentral:rRNA from 1 species